UACGAAGGGGACUAGCGUUGUUCGGAAUCACUGGGCGUAAAGCGCACGUAGGCGGAUUUGUAAGUCAGGGGUGAAAUCCCGGGGCUCAACCUCGGAACUGCCUUUGAUACUGCGAGUCUUGAGUCCGAUAGAGGUGGGUGGAAUUCCUAGUGUAGAGGUGAAAUUCGUAGAUAUUAGGAAGAACACCAGUGGCGAAGGCGGCCCACUGGACCAUAACUGACGCUGAUGCACGAAAGCUGGGGGAGCAACAAGG
rnacentral:rRNA from 1 species